ensembl:misc_RNA Metazoa_SRP Metazoan signal recognition particle RNA
ACUGGGCCCGGUGGCACGUGUCUGUAGUCCCAGCUACUUGGGAGGCUGAAGUGGGAGGAUCGCUUGAGCCCAGGAGUUCUGGGCUGUAGUGCGCUAUGCCGAUCUGGUGUCCACGCUAAGUUCUGCAUCAAUAUGGUGACCUCCUGGGAGCGGGGACCACCAGGUUGCCUAAGGAGGGAUGAACUGGCCCAGGUUGGAAACGGAGCAGGUCAAAACUCCCGUGCUAAUCAGUAGUGGGAUCAUGCCUGUGAAUAGCCACUGCACUCCAGCCUGGGCAACAUAGCAAGACCCUGUCUCUU